AUGCUGCGCGCGGCGGCGGCUGCCGCCGCUGCCUUCCCGGCGCGGUUCGCCGCCGUGCCGGCCGUGGCGGCGGCGGAGGAGAUGCGGUCGCCGCUGCUCAGGGUCUUCGGGUCGCUGAGGGGCGGCCGGAGCUCGGUGAUGGGGAGGCGGGCGCGCUUCUGCUCCAGCUCCUCCGGGAGUGACUCCGAGGCCGCGGCGGCGGCCGCAGCGGAGGCGAAGGCCGAGGAUGCGGUUGCCGCCGAGGGUGAGGCUGAAGGCAAGGCGUCCUCCGCCAUCGUCUCCACCAACCCCCGUCCCGAGGACUUCCUCUCGGUCAUUGCCCUGCCUCUUCCACACCGACCACUCUUUCCAGGAUUUUAUAUGCCGAUCUAUGUAAAGGACCAAAAGCUGUUGCAAGCCUUAAUUGAAAAUCGCAAAAGAUCAGCCCCAUAUGCAGGUGCCUUUCUUGUGAAGGAUGAAGAGGGUACUGACCCUAGUAUUGUAGCCAGUCCAGAUUCAUCAGACAAUAAAACCAUUGAUAGUCUCAAAGGGAAGGAGUUGUUGAAGCGUCUUCAUGAAGUUGGCACUCUGGCUCAGAUAACUAGCAUACAAGGGGAUCAGGUAGUGCUUCUUGGUCACCGACGUUUGCGGAUAACUGAGAUGGUUGAGGAGGACCCACUUACAGUUAAAGUUGACCAUCUGAAGGAAAAUACCUACAACAAGGAUGACGAUGUUAUAAAAGCAACCUCAUUUGAAGUUAUAUCAACUUUAAGGGAGGUUCUCAAGACAAGUUCCCUUUGGAAGGAUCAUGUUCAGACCUACAUACAGCAUGUAGGUGAUUUCAACUACCCACGGCUGGCAGACUUCGGUGCUGCUAUUUCUGGUGCCAACAAGUUGCUUUGCCAGGAAGUGCUUGAGGAAUUAGAUGUAGAUAAGCGUCUAAAGUUAACUCUUGAGUUAGUAAAGAAGGACAUGGAGAUCAGUAAGUUACAGCAAGCAAUUGCAAAGGCAAUUGAAGAAAAAAUUAGCGGGGAUCAGCGACGUUAUUUAUUGAAUGAACAACUUAAAGCAAUCAAGAAGGAGCUAGGUUUGGAGACUGAUGACAAGACAGCAUUGUCUGAAAAGUUUAGGGAAAGGAUUGAAGCAAAGAAAGAUAAGUGUCCUCCUCAUGUUUUGCAAGUCAUUGAAGAAGAGCUCACCAAGCUACAGCUGCUAGAAGCCAGUUCUAGUGAGUUCAAUGUAACUCGCAAUUAUUUGGACUGGUUGACGGUAUUACCAUGGGGAAAUUAUAGCAAUGAGAAUUUUGAUGUUCAUCAUGCCCAACAAAUCCUUGAUGAAGACCAUUAUGGUCUGAGUGAUGUUAAAGAGAGAAUACUGGAGUUCAUAGCAGUUGGGAAGCUAAGAGGGACUUCGCAAGGGAAGAUCAUAUGUCUUUCUGGGCCACCAGGAGUCGGUAAAACUAGUAUUGGUCGCUCUAUUGCACGUGCAUUGAAUCGACAGUUUUACAGAUUUUCUGUUGGAGGUUUGGCCGAUGUUGCAGAAAUCAAGGGGCAUCGGCGGACCUACGUUGGUGCAAUGCCAGGGAAGAUGGUGCAGUGUCUCAAAUCUGUUGGGACAGCAAAUCCUCUGGUAUUGAUAGAUGAGAUCGACAAGCUUGGGAGAGGGCAUUCUGGUGAUCCAGCGAGUGCACUGCUGGAACUUCUGGACCCUGAGCAGAAUAUUAAUUUUUUGGACCACUACCUUGAUGUUCCUAUUGACCUAUCCAAGGUUCUGUUUGUUUGCACAGCAAAUGUUAUCGAUACAAUACCUAAUCCGUUGCUGGAUAGAAUGGAGAUCAUUUCAAUAGCUGGUUAUAUAACUGAUGAGAAGAUGCAUAUUGCUCGGGACUAUCUGGAGAAGAAUACUAGAGAGGCUUGUGGCAUUAAACCUGAACAGGUUGAAGUUACAGAUGCUGCCCUCCUUGCCCUUAUUGAAAAUUACUGCCGAGAAGCAGGAGUUCGGAACCUUCAAAAGCAGAUUGAGAAAAUUUACCGGAAGAUAGCUCUGCAGCUUGUCCGCCAAGGGGUAUCAAAUGAGCCCGCCCUGGAGGCUGUAAUUGUCACACCAAGCGUAGAACCUACUGAUGGUGGUAGUGCAACAAUCGUGAAAGAUGAGGAGUUGAAUGAUCCUGCUGUCAAAGAUCCCGAGGAAGCUAAAGAACUAUCUCUGAAAGAAACUCUUGUAACUGAGCCAGCUCUGUCAACCGACACAUUGAGCACACCAGAGGGCAACAAGGACACAGACGGAGUAAAAGAGGAGGCAGUAGACAAGGCAGUUAAGAAGGUACUAAUUGAUUCAUCAAACCUUGACGAUUUUGUCGGGAAACCUGUAUUUCAUGCUGAGCGUAUAUAUGAGCAAACUCCUGUUGGAGUGGUCAUGGGUUUAGCUUGGACUUCUAUGGGUGGUUCUACUUUAUACAUCGAAACAACGAAAGUGGAGGAAGGAGAAGGAAAAGGUGCACUUGUGAUGACGGGGCAGCUUGGAGAUGUCAUGAAAGAGAGUGCUCAGAUUGCUCACACAGUCAGCAGAGCUAUACUACGAGAUAGAGAGCCAGAUAAUCAAUUCUUUGCAAACUCAAAGUUGCACUUGCAUGUUCCUGCAGGGGCCACCCCUAAGGAUGGCCCGAGUGCUGGAUGUACCAUGAUUACAUCAAUGUUGUCGUUAGCUAUGGGAAAACCUGCCAGGAAGGACUUAGCAAUGACUGGUGAAGUAACAUUGACCGGAAGAAUCCUCCCAAUCGGCGGGGUAAAAGAGAAGGCAAUUGCUGCCCGGCGAAGCUCGAUAAAGACGAUCAUAUUUCCAGCAGCAAACAAAAGGGAUUUCGAUGAGCUUGCUGAUAACGUAAAGGAGGGUCUCGAGGUUCACUUUGUUGACACAUACAGUGAAAUAUACAAGGUAGCUUUCCAGAACGAGACAGAAACAAGCUAG
rnacentral:rRNA from 1 species